rnacentral:rRNA from 1 species
GAUGAACGCUGACAGAAUGCUUAACACAUGCAAGUCAACUGUGGCGGACGGGUGAGUAACGCGUAAAGAACUUGCCACACAGUUAGGGACAACAUGAGGAAACGAAUGCUAAUACCUGAAACUGUGGGAGAGCUUUGCGUCCGAUUAGCUAGUUGGAGAGGUAACUGCUCACCAAGGAGAUGAUGGGUAGCCGGCCUGAGAGGGUGAUCGGCCACAUGGGGACUGGGGCACGGGCCUUACGCAUACGGGAGUCAUCAGUGGUGAAUAUUGGACAAUGGUCCAAAGUCUGAUGCAGCAAUUCGGUGUGCACGAUAAAGUUUUCGGAAGGUAGGGUGCUUUCUGUUGGGAAGCUUUACCAACAGAAGAAGUGACGGCUAAAUCCGUGCCAGCAGCCGCGGUAAUUC